UGGCCCUUACAUGAUGCCGGGCUUGGAGCACUGGCUGCUGGUCUCAUAAUAGUCGUCCACGAAUUUGCGCGGGAUCUGCCGGGAGACGAAGGAGAAGCAGCAGUCGGUCGGGGUGUUGGUACCAACUGCUGUAGCUGGAGGCAGGCAGG